rnacentral:rRNA from 1 species
GUUAUCGUUUAUUUGAUAGUACCUUACUACUUGGAUAACCGUGGUAAUUCUAGAGCUAAUACAUGCUGAAAACCCCAACUUCGGGAGGGGUGUAUUUAUUAGAUAAAAAACCAACGCCCUUCGGGGCUUCUUGGUGAUUCAUGAUAACUUCACGGAUCGCAUGGCCUUGCGCCGGCGACGGUUCAUUCAAAUUUCUGCCCUAUCAACUUUCGAUGGUAAGGUAUUGGCUUACCAUGGUUUCAACGGGUAACGGGGAAUUAGGGUUCGAUUCCGGAGAGGGAGCCUGAGAAACGGCUACCACAUCCAAGGAAGGCAGCAGGCGCGCAAAUUACCCAAUCCCGACACGGGGAGGUAGUGACAAUAAAUACUGAUACAGGGCUCUUUUGGGUCUUGUAAUUGGAAUGAGUACAAUUUAAACCUCUUAACGAGGAACAAUUGGAGGGCAAGUCUGGUGCCAGCAGCCGCGGUAAUUCCAGCUCCAAUAGCGUAUAUUAAAGUUGUUGCAGUUAAAAAGCUCGUAGUUGAAACUUGG